AUACGUAGGGGGCGAGCGUUGUCCGGAAUUACUGGGUGUAAAGGGUGCGUAGGCGGGAUGGCAAGUCAGAUGUGAAAUGCCGGGGCUCAACCCCGGAGCUGCAUUUGAAACUGUCGUUCUUGAGUGAGGUAGAGGUAAGCGGAAUUCCUAGUGUAGCGGUGAAAUGCGUAGAUAUUAGGAGGAACAUCGGUGGCGAAGGCGGCUUACUGGGCCUUUACUGACGCUGAGGCACGAAAGCGUGGGGAGCAAACAGGAUUAGAUACCCUGGUAGUCCACGCUGUAAACGAUGAUGACUAGGUGUGGGGGGACUGAACCCUUCCGUGCCGCAGUAAACACAAUAAGUCAUCCACCUGGGGAGUACGGCCGCAAGGUUGAAACUCAAAUGAAUUGACGGGG
rnacentral:rRNA from 1 species